UGACAUGGUGAGAGGAGAAAUAGAAAAAGCA
rnacentral:piRNA from 1 species